rnacentral:lncRNA from 1 species
AUGUGUUGCUAUAUUCAAUUCUAAAAAUAGGAAAACAUGAUUUUGGAAGCCAAGAGAACAAAUCAGCCGGUGGAACAUUUUUGGUUAUCACAGACCUGACAGUUGUCUCUCCGGUGUUCAGUUAAUAUUGCUGUAAGGAAAACAAAUGGAGAAAAGCACUCCCUGGCUGUGGAGAGCAUGUCAGUUCAAAGCCUAGGGAUGGAACAAGUGGCUCUGGAUUUUCCUUUCAAAACUACGUCAGCUGAAUUUAUGGACUUAAGAUCACUCUAAGAAAUCUUCUUACGUCACUUCAAGCUUCGUAUUUGAUUCCAUUGUCUCAGCUCAGUAUACUGAAUUACGUGUUAUUUGGUUGUUGGUGGAGACAACAAAAAAUGAGGGAUCUCUUGAACAGCGCUCUAUAAAGAGAGGUGUAUCGAAUUCUUAUAUCAACGCUGAAGUGACCACAUCUCUUUUGGUAAGACAGCAACUUGUCGUGGGACCAUCCUUCCUUGUAGCUCACUCUGUGCUGUGUUCGCUGUGGCUCCUGGUUGUGUUGCACUCCACCACUUCUCUGCAGAAGUGCCCAUUUGUGAUUCGUUCCCUGUGCACAAGUUUCACGAGCUGCAGAGGAAGCCCUGCACAGGGAGAUGCAGAAGGGCAGUUUCGAAGUGGGAAGAAGUGCUGCAAAAGCGCUUGGGUUUUGUUCAUGUACUGAGAAGGAUUCUGCAGACAGGCUGGCAACAGAGCACAUUCAGCUGGGCCUCACAGCUGGGCUGUUCCAGUACCAGCCUCUCUUGGAUUCUGAUGCGAUUUGCUCUGCCUCAACAGUAGAAGAGAUUUGGAAUCAGAAUGGAAUUGGGACACAGAGAAAAUGCCUCUUUUCAACACUUGUUAUUUCAUGACUUGGGAUUGAAAUGCUCACUGUUGUACCUGGGCAUAAUGAACAUACCAUGGUGCUUUCUGGAUUAAAAGUUGCCUAAGAGGCUUCAUCUGUACUCACUUGUACACAUCACACUUAAAAGAAGUAAAUUUCUGGGGGGGGUAUGAGUUGUAAUUUUAAAAAAAAGGGUAUUUCACAGAUUAUUAACCAUAGUUGUGCCACCGGGUAUCAAUCUAACGGCUAAAAAACCCAAUCACUGUGUUGUAGCAAUUGGUUACUUAACGUUUUGGCUUGUUUGUGUCGCUUUUGUUUUGUUUUGUUUUGUUUUUUUUAAACUAAGAGAAUGAAUUCCUUUGACUGACUGCAAGGCUCAGAAAAUACCAGUUAUCAAUUCUCUUCCUAAUGACAACCGAUGACAUGAUUUUUACAAACGGUUGAGCACUUGGCAAAUGCUAGCCAUAGAAAUCGAAUGAGCUGAAAGAAACUCCAGCCUGCCCCAUUGUCAUGACUGAGCUGACAGAUGGGAAAAAGAGAAGGAGGUUGCGAAGCUAUCCCAGAAGCCCAGGGGCACAGCGUGAAGUGACUGCUGAAGUGCCUUGCGAGACCCCAAGUGAGGG